GGAAUUGCUAGUAAUCACAGGUCAGCAUACUGUGGUGAAUACGUUCCCGGGCCUUGUACACACCGCCCGUCACACCAUGAGAGUUGAGAAUACCCGAAGCCCAUGUCAAAGUGGUCGAAGGUAGGCUUGAUGAUUGGGGUGAAGUCGUAACAAGGUAUC
rnacentral:rRNA from 1 species